rnacentral:rRNA from 1 species
ACAGAGACUGCAAGCGUUAUUCGGAUUCACUGGGCGUAAAGGGUGCGCAGGCGGCCAAGUGUGUGAGGCGUGAAAGCCCGGGGCUUAACCCCGGAAUUGCACCUCAAACUACAUGGCUAGAGCAUUGGAGAGGGUAGCAGAAUUCACGGUGUAGCAGUGAAAUGCGUAGAUAUCGUGAGGAAUACCAGAGGCGAAGGCGGCUACCUGGACAAUUGCUGACGCUCAGGCACGAAAGCGUGGGGAGCAAAAGGGAUUAGAUACCCCUGUAGUCCACGCCCUAAACGGUGCACACUAGGUCUUGGCGGAUUCGACCCCACCAGGGCCCAAGCUAACGCGUUAAGUGUGCCGCCUGAGGACUACGGCCGCAAGGCUA